CCUACGGGAGGCUGCAGUGAGGAAUAUUGGUCAAUGGGCGCGAGCCUGAACCAGCCAAGUAGCGUGAAGGAUGACUGCCCUACGGGUUGUAAACUUCUUUUAUAAAGGAAUAAAGUGUGGCACGUGUACCUUUUUGUAUGUACUUUAUGAAUAAGGAUCGGCUAACUCCGUGCCAGCAGCCGCGGUAAUACGGAGGAUCCGAGCGUUAUCCGGAUUUAUUGGGUUUAAAGGGUGCGUAGAUGGGUUGUUAAGUCAGUUGUGAAAGCUUGCGGCUCAACCGUGAAAUUGCAAUUGAUACUGGCAGUCUUGAGUACAGUUGAGGUAGGCGGAAUACGUGGUGUAGCGGUGAAAUGCUUAGAUAUCACGAAGAACUCCGAUUGCGAAGGCAGCUUACUAAACUGCCACUGACAUUGAUGCUCGAAAGUGUGGGUAUCAAACAGGAUUAGAUACCCGGGUAGUC
rnacentral:rRNA from 1 species